CCCGGUGACCAUACCCGGAAGGCCACACCCGUUCCCAUCCCGAACACGGUCGUUAAGCUUCCGGGGCCGAUGGUAGUGCAACAAACGCGAGAGUAGGUGUUGCCGGGA
rnacentral:rRNA from 1 species